rnacentral:lncRNA from 1 species
UUAUUGAUGUGUUUAGCCCUUGCAAUUAGGCGGCAUUUAAAAAUUCGUCCCUGUAAUUGUUAAUCCUGGCAUUUUAACCCUGCAAUUGUUAAUCGUUUAAAAUUUGGUCCUUGGACCAAAUUAAUCACUGCCACGUCACUAAUUUGAUGACGUGACAAUCACUGUCACACAUGAAAUUCCAAUUUUGCCCUAGGGGUAAAUUUGGAAUUUCAUGUGGCGUGGCAGUGAUUAAGUGGGGAGAGGGACGAAAUUUUAAACGAUUAACAAUUGCAGGGUUAAAAUGCCAGGAUUAGCAAUUACAGGGACGAAUUUUUAAAUGCCGCCUAAUUGCAAGGGCUAAACACAUCAAUAAGCCAAA